rnacentral:snRNA from 1 species
UAUCCAGCGAAACCACAGC